AGGAUUAAAGGUUUUGGUGAUGGAUGAGAAUGGUGUUAGCAGGAUGGUAACCAAAGGUCUGCUUACACACCUUGGAUGUGAUGUAACUACUGUUGGCUCACGCGAUGAGUGCUUGAGAGUUGUUACACAUGAACACAAGGUAGUUAUCAUGGAUGUCAGCAUGCAAGGUAUAGACUGUUACGAAGUUGCUGUAGUGAUACAUGAAAGGUUUGGGAAACGUCACGGUAGGCCACUUAUUGUGGCAUUAACGGGGAACACAGACAGAGUUACGAAAGAAAACUGCAUGAGAGUUGGUAUGGAUGGAGUUAUCCUAAAACCUGUGUCAGUGUAUAAAAUGAGAAGUGUUUUAUCUGAGCUCUUAGAACAUGGAGUUGUACUUGAAUCUUAGUGAAUGUAGGAGGAAAAUAUGCAGCAACCAUAUGAAAAAUUCACCCAAAUGCACGAGGCGUUGUAUAUAGUUCUCGUCUUUGGAUUUCUUGGUGGAUAACACAAUAUAUCACUUGAAGAAGGUGUAUGUAACGCGACGUUGCUCGAGGCAUUCAACAAAUUUGUAGAAAGGAGUUGAUUUUUCCACUACCAGAAGUGUUCAUAUUCCAUGGAACUUUGUAUAAGAUACUGAUAUUUGACACAACCCUUCAUUUACUUGAAACAUUAG
rnacentral:misc_RNA from 1 species